UUGGUGCAUUUUUGGAGGCAUUUCAAUAAAUCCUUUUUCUUCCGUUUCAGCAGGGGCUCAUUGAAACAGCUACAUUUUCCAAGUGCAGGCAGACAGCCAAUAGCAUCUAAAUUAUUUUUAAGAAAGCACUUAUAGCACUAAGCACUCACUACUACUAAAUCCAUCUUAGAGGAGAAGGGUGGAGUAAGAAGAAAGGUCAACAAAUGUAUCAAGUUCUUUGUGUAAUGCCUCACUGACAUUUUCCAACUCCCUCAGCUGGCUUUUAUUUUUUUAUUUUUUAUUUCUCAGAAUCCUGGUAAAAUGCAGUAAAGGAUUUAAGGUUAUCAUCUGUCUCUCUCUAACUUCUGACAUCUCUUUAUAACAAGAAAGAGUCACAGCCAACUGUAACAGGAGGGCAACACAAUGAAUCCUGAAGAGGACAGACCUCGUCAUCUGGAGAUGAGGGAGUCACAGCCUUCCAGGAAUCCUCUUCCAAUGUUUCACCACCUUCAUGAUGCAGUGAUUCUUGGAGGGAAAACACAUACACAUGGAUAUAUUCACUGUGGGUGUUUUAUGAGAACAUGGAGCUGCGUGUCACAGUACUUUUUUCCAUGGGUCAAGGGAGACUGUUCUAACACUCCCAGCUUCUGUUGCCCAGGUGCCUUCUGCUGUAGAAAUCCUUUGUUACCAUGGAGGGCCAGUCACACAGUGCUGACUGGAUUAUGUGCUGCCUAGUAUGUCCACAAGUAUUUGGGAAUACAGCAAGAAAAAGAGAAUAACAAAGCCUUAGUGGUUUGCUUUCCCUGACAGUCAGUGUACUAAGUUGGAAGAAACUGCAAAACCCCUGAGUUAUUUUGCUCAGCAGUCCAGCAUUCAGGGAAACCCAGAGCACAGGGGCAGUUGCUGCCAGUGCACGCCAUUCCCUCCCUCCCCAGACUGGCUUUCUGGCCAAAGUUAAUGAUUCAUAAGAUUCUGCACUGAUUUCACUGUGAGCUUCCACAUUUGCAUAAGUAAAAGCUUCUGCAGCUUCUGUAGGGAGAUUCUUAGUGAAAUUGCAGCACAAAACAUUGAUAUUAUGUAAUUAUGGUAGUUCAUCUUAACUUAAAUGAAAUUGUUACUUUAAACUUGCUCUAAGUGGCUCACAAUGUAACUUUUGUAUGACACACCUACAAAACAAAUGAGUUAAUCACAAUAUGUGUCAUUUUUAAUUUUUCUCUUUCAUUUUUCUUUCAGUCAUUCUGUCUUUGUAAUUAGCAUGAAGAC